AGAGAGAGACAUGCGCGCAUAUCAAUAAGCGGAGGAAAAGAAACUAACAAGGAUUCCCUUAGUAACGGCGAGUGAAGCGGGAAGAGCUCAAAUUUGGAAAUCUUCAAGGUUUUACCUUGACGAAUUGUAGUUUAAAGAAGUGUUUUCUGCUGAAGUUUUGGUAAAAGUUCUUUGGAAUAGGACAUCAUAGAGGGUGAGAAUCCCGUAUUUGACCAUUAUUUUCAGCUUCGUGAUACACUUUCAAAGAGUCGGAUUGUUUGGGAAUGCAGUCCAAAAUGGGUGGUAAAUUUCAUCUAAAGCUAAAUAUUGGCGAGAGACCGAUAGGCGAACAAGUACCGUGAGGGAAAGAUGAAAAGAACUUUGAAAAGAGAGUUAAACAGUACGUGAAAUUGUCAAAAGGGAAGCGUUUGACACCAGUGUUGUUUUCUCGAAAAUCAAUUAAAAAUGGCUCGAUUUUGUAUUGUUGAGACCUUAAAAGCUCACUGUACAUUUUUCGUGUCUUUUUUAAUGCACUUUUCGUUUAACAAGUCAACAUCAGUUUCUUUUGUUGUAAAAGGGUCAUUGGAAGGUGGCUUUCUUUUCGGAGAAAGUGUUUAUAGCCUUUGGCCUCUGCAAUCGGAGAGACUGAGGUCUGCAGCGUAGACUCUUCGGGGUUAGAUACAUUUGUGCUAAGUUAUAGCUUUUUAUAGACAACUUGUUGACUAUAAUUAGUCUUGUAGCUUACUCGCUUAUGCUAUUUUACCUACGCUUAGGAUGUUGAAGAUGUAGCACAUCAU
rnacentral:rRNA from 1 species